GACGAACGCUGGCGGCGUGCUUACCACAUGCAAGUCGAACGAGUGGCGAACGGGUGAGUAACACGUGGGUGAACUGCCCUGCACUUCGGGAUAAGCCUGGGAAACUGGGUCUAAUACCGGAUAGUGUGGGCUGGGCCCUCGGCCUAUCAGCUUGUUGGUGGGGUAAUGGCUACCAAGGCGGGACGGGUAGCCGGCCUGAGAGGGUGUACGGCCACAUUGGGACUGAGACAGGGCCCAGACUCCUACGGGAGGCAGCAGUGGGUAAUAUUGCACAAUGGGCGGAAGCCUGAUGCAGCGACGCCGCGUGUAUGAAGAAGGCCUUAGGGUUGUAAAGUACUUUCAGCGGGGAGGCGUUACCCGCAGAAGAAGCACCGGCUAACUCCGUGCCAGCCGCCGCGGUAAUUC
rnacentral:rRNA from 1 species